CCCCUCCCACUUACCAAACCCUCCCACUCCCCAACCCAUCCCACUCCCAACCCCUUCCACACUUCACUUCUCAACCCUUCACUCCCAUCAUUCUUAUCCUUUCACUUCCAUCAUUCUUAUGAUGGGAGGGGCUGAUGUACGGACCGUUUCUACUUCUUCAUUUUCGCCGUGGUAACCACCAACCUGGAGGAAAAGAUGGCCGACUAUGACGACAAGAACUCUUAAGAGUGUUCGCUGGCUAGCGAUUAUACCGGAAGAUACGGGAGUCCUGAUGGACCAGGGCAGAGGUGGUGACCAAAGACCAACAUGACCCGGCACCAGAAGACCUGGAAGAACCUGACCAUGGACACCUUGGAGAAGCUGGCCCUUGCCAGCACAAGAGUAUAGUGGAGGGGGUGCACAGCCUGUCGUUCAACGUACAGCAAGAGGUGAUGAUGAGGAACCAUAUGACUGCAACCCUCCAAGACAAACUAUUGAAUAAUGAUAUUGCCACCGACCAUACUGGAGACAUCCUGUCCACCCUCAUCACCCUGGAGAAGGUAAGAAGGCAGUGGACAUGGCACCAUUCCCCAUAUAGUGCACUAAUUUUGAUCAGAGCCUUAUGGGUGCUCAAUAGAUUCAAUGACUCUUCCUGGAGUUGUCUAUAACCUUAUAUUUACUGUUCUGUUACUAAUGUCAGUUGUGUGUCAAGCUCAUCAAAUCCAAUGUAUUUAUAAAGCCCUUUUUACAUCAGCAGAUGGCACAAAGUGCUUAUACAAAAACCCACCCUAAAACCCCAAACAGCAAGAAAUGCAGAUGUAGAAGCACAGUGGCUAGGAAAAACUUCCUAGAAAGGCAGGAGCCUAGGAAGAAACCUAGAAAGGAACCAGGCUCUGAGGGGUGGCCAGUCCUCUUCUGGCUGUGCUGGGUGGAGAUUUUCAGAGUACAUGGGAAUUAAGGCCAGAAUGUUCUUCAAGAAGUUCAAGCAUUCAUAGAUGACCAGUACAGUCAAAUAAUAAUCACACUUGUUGUAGAGGGUGCAACAGGCCAGUACCUCAGGAGAAAAUGUCAGCUGGCUUUUCAUAACUGAGCAUUUAGAGGUCGAGGGAGUUUUUCCUAGCCACCGUGCUUCUACACCUUUUACUCCAGUCAAAUAAUAAUCACACUUGUUGUAGAGGGUGCAACAGGCCAGUACCUCAGGAGAAAAUGUCAGCUGGCUUUUCAUAACUGAGCAUUUAGAGGUCUAGGGAGUUUUUCCUAGCCACCGUGCUUCUACACCUGCAUUGCUUUGUUUGGGGUUUUUGUACAGCACUUUGAGAUAUCAGCUGAUGUACGAAGGGCUAUAUAAAUAAAUUUGAUUUGAGACAGAAGAAAACAGCACGUCCAGGAGAAGGUAGCACAUCCGGUGAACAUGUCAGGGUUCCAUAGCCAUGGGCAGAACAGUUCAAACUUGAGCAGCAGCAAGACCAGGUGGACUGUGGGCAGCCAGGAAUCAUCAGGCCUGGUAGUCCAGAGGCACAGUCCUAGGGCUCAUGUCCUCAACUCGAACAGAGCAUCCUCACCUGUUCCAGCAGGGGGAUAUGCGUCAUGCAGCCAUGAGGCUGUCCAUGGACAGCCAGCUGUCCUACCGGUCUACUUCUACACAUGUGGAUGUGGGACACAGUAACACUCCCAGCACACACCACAACACAGGCUGAACACACCUUUAACAGCCAUUUGGCUUUACUGAUUAGCUGAAAUGAUCUCAAAGAUAAUGUGCUAGGUUUCAUGGUUAAGUCAGACUGUAUGCUUGCUGCACACAUUUGCACAUGCAGAUCAAUGUUGACCAUGUACUGUGAAAUCAAGGGGGAUUUUGUUUUUUUAAUAAAAAAGAUUGGAGAUU